rnacentral:rRNA from 1 species
GAUGAACGCUAGCGGCAGGCCUAAUACAUGCAAGUCGAACGGAUAUAUGUUUUUCGGAAUAUAUAUUAGUGGCGCACGGGUGAGUAACACGUACAUAACUUGCCCUCAAGCGGGGGAUAGCCUUGGGAAACUGAGAGUAAUACCCCAUAGAAUUAUUGGACGGCAUCGUUUGAUAAUUAAAACUACGGUGUUUGGGGAUAGAUGUGCGUCUGAUUAGCUAGUUGGUGAGGUAACUGCUCACCAAGGCGACGAUCAGUAGGGGGCGGUGAGAGCGUGGCCCCCCACCACGGGUACGUGAGACACGGACCCGACUCUACGGGAGGCAGCAGUAAGGAA